rnacentral:lncRNA from 10 species
GCGUGUUUCAAUUGGCUGGAAGAACAAGGUUGGUAAGCCAGCCUUUUAAGCUCACCAAGUUGCUGCUUUUUCACCAACACAGUUACUACUAGCAGUGACAUCUGCCAUUGCUGGGGCACUUUGUUUUAAACUACUUGACCUGCAUUACCUUAUUUGAUUUCCACAAAAGCCCUGAGGUCUUUCUGCUGAUGUUCUCCUUUGCAGGAAGUUGCUGUGUUUAACGUGGCGGCCUACAGAGGAGGAGGCUGUACCUCAUGGUCCGGGGAGACGGUGCUCUCAAAAGUUCCAGAAAAGGGAUGGAACAAAUUUGGAGCACCUACUUUGGGCCAGGACUCAUUUAAGCUUCAAGAAACCUAGGAAGGAGGCAACUUCCCGCCAUCUUAUAGGUGGAGAGACUGAGGGUAAGCAGUUUGGGCUGGACGCAGAUGGACGCCCUUCUGAUGAUCUCAGCGAGACACUACCCACUCAUGGUCAGCUAGGAAUCAAGUGGAGGCUGACUGGUCUCACCCACCUGUCUGGUAGUUGAUGGCUACGGGCAACACGAAUGGCUGAGCCAUGUGCUCUCAUGAACCCAGCUUCCCAGGGCAGCAAGAGAGCCAGCCCCAAUGUGUGAACACUUUUUAAAGCCUUUGGUGGCUUGUUUGCUAAUGUCCCAGGAGCCACGUAAGACAUAAGGCCAGUGCAGAGCCAGUGUGGGAGGGGACUAUCCAAGGGGCAGAUAGAGGAAGUUAAACAAAUUAUGGCCGUUUUUGUAAUCUGCAACAAGAACUCCGUUCAAGGAACACACUAAAUGCAUGGCAGAGCUUCCUCUUUGAUCUUCUGAGCUGACAGGCAUGUGGUGAGCACAGCCUCAUGUGUCCCUAAUGUGUUCCAGACACACUUAGCACUUCCCACACAGCCAUGUAAACUGCCCGGUCCUCACCGAACUUUCUACUCCGACUGAUCUUGAGAGGCACGUGUCUCAGGAUUUAAAUAAAAAUGAACAAAUAAAUGUAUUUAUAAA